AAAACAGAAUUGUUCUGGAAAAGAAAAGCUGUGCUUGUGUAUUUUGCUGAAUUUGACUUGUGGAUAGUACACUUUCUGGUGCCUCUGGCCUGCCAUAAACCACAGUGCUCAUUUUUGCUUACAACUCAUCCACUUCUCUGUCUAUCCUGCUGAGAAUGAUGGCCAUGUAUUUUGGGUAGAGAGAGAGUGUGCGUGACUGCAAGGAGAAGAGGGGUACAAAGAAAAGAAAUCAGCUUUCAAGAAAGCCUUGCACUUCUACUCCAGGAGUUGUCAGCCAGGGAAAUGCAUCCACAGGCACUGAGGCAGUGCUGGCACUUCAUAGGCAGAGACUGGGGGAUGCUGUAGCUCUUGGGGAAGUUCAAGGGCUGCAACUAGAGUGCAACAUGGACAGAUUGCUCAGACAAUCAGCUGGAUUCUCCCAGGAGGUUGUAUCCACAGCUGUGACAGAAUGGGAGCUGCUGCUUAGCAGACAUGGGUAUCUAU